rnacentral:tRNA from 1 species
GGAGGUAUAGCUCAGGGGCAGAGUGCCUGCCUAGCAUUCACAGGGUCCUGGGUUCAGUCCCCAGCACCUCCA